rnacentral:lncRNA from 1 species
CACUAUCCACAAUAAGGGAACAUGUGUUGUGUAAGAUUUUGCAUCUAGUGUGAAAGAUGUUUUCCUUUUGUGUGUGGUCUUGUGAACUAGGUUGAUUAUGGAGAACCCUUCUUAUCAUAAGAAGUUCUCCCUCACAAGGAUGGGCAUCCUCACUUGGGCUUUCUUCUUCUUUCUUUGCACUACUUCUCUCAUUCUCACUCUCACUUUCCUCAUCUUGGAUACUAUAUAAAUCAAUACACCUCAAGAUCAUGGUCUUUUUCGUGGGACAUUGUGAUGCAAUAUGACCUCUACCAAGACACUUGAAACACUUAAUUUCACUAGUGUGAGUGUGAGAUGAUGUUCCUACCCUUGGCCUCUCUUUUUCUUUCUCUUCUCUCUUCUCCCUUCCUAGAUUCCUAAAGGGUUCUUCUUCUAACACUUGCUUACCCUCUCUUUUGUAGUCUUUCUUAAUAUUAGAGCUAGAGUGAAGCUUGCUUCUCAAAAUUUGUUGUUCACUUUGAUGCUUAAUUGUACCAAAUCAUUCAAAUCUUGAUACGGUAACAACUCCACGUUAUCUCUAAUUUCAAGUUUAAGACCACUAAGAAACCUAGAGAUGGUGAUCUCAUUCUCCUCUCUAAUUCCCGCCCUCAUCAUAUAGAGCUCCAUCUUUUGCCUUUACUCCUCUACACUUAACUUCCUUUGUUGGAGCCUUUGGAGUUUGACCAUAAGCUCUCUAUCGUAGUAAAAGGGUAUGUGCCUCCU